rnacentral:rRNA from 1 species
GGUGAGUAACACGUAGGGUGACCUGCCAUCAGCAGUGGGGGAUAACGACCCGAAAGGGUCGCUAAUAUCCUGCAUAACACUCCCAGUCGUUUUGGAGACAGUGGAGAUCAAAUGCCGGGGAUCGCUAAGACCUGGCUGCUCAGAGAGGGGCCUGCUGGGUCGAUUAGCUAGUUGGUGAGCGUAAUGGCUCACCAAGGCAACGAUCGGUAUCCGGCCUGAGAGGGCGGACGGACACACUGGGACUGAGACACGGUCCAGACUCAUAAACGGGAGGCAGCAGUGGGGAAUUGUUCGCAAUGGGCGCAAGCCUGACGACGCAACGCCGCGUGGAGGAUGAAGAUCUUCGGGUCGUAAACUCCUUUCGAUCGGGAAGAACGUUUUCCGGGUGAACAAUCCGGAGAAGUGACGGUACCGAGAGAAGAAGCCCCGGCUAACUCUGUGCCAGCCGCCGCG